AUGGGAAAGCCGGCGAGUGUGUGGCGGGGUACGCACAGUGGACUCGGUGUCUUCAAACACUUCUCUCGCCUCCUCGUAGACGCAGACCUCCUCCAAGCACUCCUUUUCCAAAUGCCCCUCGAAGAGCUCUUCCAAGAGGUAGGAGCCGGCUCGCCUCCACCUGGCCAGAAGCUCGUGCGCGUCCGACGCGGGAAGAAAGACUGCAGGACGACACAGGAGUGCAGGCAUCUCAGCCCUCCGCGGGCGGCCAGGUUCUUGGCAGUCUUCUUUCCCUGUGUGUUGGUGGUUUCCUUUUGGUUGAAACAGGAGCCUGAUUUGAGAAAGACCACGUCUCUGCCAUCGAGGCAAACGGGACACGAGAUUACUGCCGGUUCCAGACCCCGGGCUGACAGCAGUGACUGAACCUUGGGAGGAGGUUCUCUGCCAGCGGCCCUGUCCCCUCAGGGACUGUGUCUCUUUUCUCCGAGCAGUGCCAAAGGUGGCCUUGGUUGGGCGAGCGUCUCUUCCUGGGUCCACGCGGGCCGUGAGGAGGGUAUGAUCAUUUUAAUCUAACCGACAGAUCAGAACACCACUGUUUCAACACACGCGACUGUCACAAGGAACCAAGUGUGUGUUCUGAUUUCUGUGCUAAAGCGGUGCAGGUGGGUGUAUUUUGAACUCCCAGCAGCGUGACUUUGGCCACCAGUUGCAGGGAGGCAUCGUGGCCACAUGAGCGGCGGGGGUCCAGGGUCCCCCGUCUGCGGUCGCUGGUUUGGGUUCAGCGGUAUAGGAAGGUUGGGGGGGAAGGGGCCCUGAGCAGGGGCUGUGGGGGGGCGGGGGACGCGGGCGGGGACUC
rnacentral:lncRNA from 1 species